rnacentral:rRNA from 1 species
AUUGAACGCUGGCGGCAGGCUUAACACAUGCAAGUCGAGCGGAGAUGAGGUGCCUGCACCUUAUCUUAGCGGCGGACGGGUGAGUAAUGCUUAGGAAUCUGCCUAUUAGUGGGGGACAACAUUCCGAAAGGAAUGCUAAUACCGCAUACGCGCUACGGGGGAAAGCAGGGGAUCUUCGGACCUUGCGCUAAUAGAUGAGCCUAAGUCGGAUUAGCUAGUUGGUGGGGUAAAGGCCUACCAAGGCGACGAUCUGUAGCGGGUCUGAGAGGAUGAUCCGCCACACUGGGACUGAGACACGGCCCAGACUCCUACGGGAGGCAGCAGUGGGGAAUAUUGGACAAUGGGCGGAAGCCUGAUCCAGCCAUGCCGCGUGUGUGAAGGAGGCCUUUUGGUUGUAAAGCACUUUAAGCGAGGAGGAGGCUACCUGGAUUAAUACUCUAGGAUAGUGGACGUUACUCGCAGAAUAAGCACCGGCUAACUCUGUGCCAGCAGCCGCAGUAACAC